AUCUUGCUACUUUAUUUAAAGUCGUGAAUGCUACCAUUUCAGACUCCAUAGUAGACAGAGCCAAUAUGGUAUGAUUCUUUGAUUUCCAAGAUACAGUUUCUCUACUAUAGUAAAUAUAGUUACUAGUUGUUUUGGAAUCUUAUGAUAAUAUAUUCCGAUUUACAUCACUGUAUCAUUCAAGUAAAACUGGAAAUCUCUGCUAACA
rnacentral:lncRNA from 1 species